rnacentral:rRNA from 1 species
GACGAACGCUGGCGGCGUGCCUAAUACAUGCAAGUAGAACGCUGAAGGAGGAGGUUGCUUCUCUGGAUGAGUUGCGAAGGGGUGAGUAACGCGUAGGUAACCUGCCUGGUAGCGGGGGAGAACUAUUGGAAACGAUAGCUAAUACAGCAUAAGAGUAGAUGUUGCAUGACGUUUACUAAAAAGGUGCAAUUGCACCACUACCAGAUGGACCUGCGUUGUAUUAGCUAGUUGGUGAGGUAACGGCGCACCAAGGACACGAUUCAUAGCCGACCAGAGAGGGGUGUCCGCCACCCCUGGACUUGGACCACGCCCAGACUUCCUCGGGAGGCAGCCGUAGGGAAUCUUCGGCAAUGGACCGAAGUCUUACCGAGCCACGCCGCGUUAGUUAAGAAGGUUUUCGGAUCGUAAAGCUCUGUUUUAAGGGAAGAACGAGUGUGAGAGUGGACAGUGCACGCUGUGGCGGUAUCUUACCAGAAAGGGACGGCUAACUACGUG